rnacentral:rRNA from 1 species
GACGACACUGGCGGCGUGCCUAAUACAUGCAAGUCGAACGAGUGGCGAACGGGUGAGUAACACGUGGGAACCUGCCCAUCAGAAGGGGAUAACUACUGGAAACGGUAGCUCAUACCGCAUACCAUCGGAUGUGCCAAGAUGGGAUUAGCUAGUAGGUGGGGUAAAGGCUCACCUAGGCGGCGAUCCCUACAUGGUCUGAGAGGAUGACCAGCCACACUGGAACUGAGACACGGUCCAGACUCCUACGGGAGGCAGCAGUGGGGAAUAUUGCACAAUAGGCGCAAGCCUGAUGCAGACAUGACGCGUGUAUGAAGAACGCCUUCGGGUUUUAAAGUACUUUCAGCGUGGAGGCGUUACACGCAGAAGAAGCACCGGCUAACUCCGUGCCAGCAGCCGCGGUAAUAC